rnacentral:rRNA from 1 species
GGUUCAUUCAAAUUUCUGCCCUAUCAACUUUCGACGGCUGGGUCUUGGCCAGCCGUGGUGACAACGGGUAACGGAGGGUUAGGGCUCGACCCCGGAGAAGGAGCCUGAGAAACGGCUACUACAUCCAAGGAAGGCAGCAGGCGCGCAAAUUACCCAAUCCCGACCGGGGAGGUAGUGACAAUAAAUACUGAUACAGGGCUCUUUUGGGUCUUGUAAUUGGAAUGAGUACAAUUUAAAUCCCUUAACGAGGAACAAUUGGAGGGCAAGUCUGGUGCCAGCAGCCGCGGUAAUUCCAGCUCCAAUAGCGUAUAUUAAAGUUGUUGCAGUUAAAAAGCUCGUAGUUG